GACAUUGCUACUUACAAUUAGUUUUGCAGGUUUGCAUUUCAGCGUAUAUAUGUAUAUGUGGCUGUGCAAAUCCAUGCAAAACUGAUUGUGAUAAUGU
ensembl:miRNA MIR19B2 microRNA 19b-2